rnacentral:rRNA from 1 species
AACGAACGCUGGCGGCAUGCCUAACACAUGCAAGUCGAACGAGACCUUCGGGUCUAGUGGCGCACGGGUGCGUAACGCGUGGGAACCUGCCCUUAUGUGCGGAAGAACUCCCCGAAAGGGGUUCUAAUACCGGAUAAUGUCUUCGGACCAAAGAUUUAUCGCCUUUGGAUGGGCCCGCGUUGGAUUAGCUAGUUGGUAGGGUAAAAGCCUACCAAGGCGACGAUCCAUAGCUGGUCUGAGAGGAUGAUCAGCCACACUGGGACUGAGACACGGCCCAGACUCCUACGGGAGGCAGCAGUGGGGAAUAUUGGACAAUGGGCGAAAGCCUGAUCCAGCCAUGCCGCGUGAGUGAUGAAGGCCUUAGGGUUGUAAAGCUCUUUUACCCGGGAUGAUAAUGACAGUACCGGGAGAAUAAGCUCCGGCUAACUCCGUG